rnacentral:tRNA from 1 species
GCGGCGGUAGCUCAGGGGUAGAGCGCCUGACUGUGGCUCAGGAGGUCGUGGGUUCAAAACCCAUUCGCCGCCCCA